rnacentral:tRNA from 1 species
GUGUAGCUUAGUGGUAGAGCACUUGCCUGGUAUGUGAGAGGCGCUGGGUUCCACCCCCAGCAUAAACA